AGGUAGUAAUUUCAAUAAAACCUAUUUAAUUUGGCGGCAUUUCACCUAAUUAGAGGAACUUGUCCUUUAAUCGACACUCCCCGAUAAUUUUCACUUUUCUUUAAAAUUUAUAUACCGCCAUCUAAAGAACUAAUAUUAAAAAUAUAUUCUAAACAAUAAAUAACAAGUUAGGUCAAGGUGUAAUCAAUAUAAAAGAAUGUGAUGAGUUACUUUUAAAAAAAUUAAAAGGAUUAAUUAAUUAUAAUUUUUCAUGAAAAAGGAUUUAAAAGUAAAAUUUUAAUAAUAUUCCAAUUUGAAUUAGUUAAUAAAUGUGC
rnacentral:rRNA from 1 species